rnacentral:rRNA from 1 species
UACGUAGGGGGCAAGCGUUGUCCGGAAUCAUUGGGCGUAAAGCGCGUGUAGGCGGCCCGGUAAGUCCGCUGUGAAAGUCGGGGGCUCAACCCUCGGAUGCCGGUGGAUACUGUCGGGCUAGAGUGCGGGAGAGGCGAGUGGAAUUCCUGGUGUAGCGGUGGAAUGCGCAGAUAUCAGGAGGAACACCAAUAGCGAAGGCAGCUCGCUGGGACGGUACUGACGCUAAGGCGCGAAAGCGUGGGGAGCGAACAGG